GGCAAGCAUAUAGCAACAGGAGAGAGCCCUGGCUGGAGGAUGCUGCACAUAUGGGGAAAAGAGCACUGACUGUUUCAGAAGAUGGAAUUCAAUUGCCGGAAGGGCCGGAUGUGUCCCCUCCCAUUGGUCCAGCUGGGGAAAGCUCCUGCCAUCAUCCUGGAAACAGGAAAAAUGACACCAUGCAUCCUUAAGUGUAAGGUGGAUCAUGAAGUGACAGAAACAUGGGAUAGUCCAGAAGGUUGACUGUGUAUUCUCUGCCUGGGAAAGAAGCAGACAGAUAGAAGCCAUGUCUGCCCUCUACUUGGUUUCAGACAUCUCACAUUUUUCCAUGAUUUGUCAAAGGAAAGAAAUCCUUCUUUUGCUGCCCAGACCACUUCAUAAAGAAGAUACAGAUCUUCCCCUUGUCUGGUAUUCAGCACAUCUUCAACAGCUGAAGAAAGCCUUGGUGCCACGUAAGCAAAGAGCAGGAAAGCUCAUGGUGAGAGCCUUCUGGAGCUUUAAAUGCCAGAGUAUUUUUAUGCAAAACAAAUGUCUGUUACCUCAUACUAUGGAUUUAAUGUCUGCUAUUUUCAACUUUCACCAUUUUAUUAAAAUAAAGUAAAUGUCUUUUUUUUUUUUUUAACCUGUCUGUUUUUAAUUUUCUCAUAUAUAUCUGGAAUGAGGAGGAACUGUUUCAGAAGACUUGAAAAUAUAGAAACAAGAAAGAGACCUUUUUUUUUUUUUUUUUUUUUUCAUCACAGUUUUAGAGUUUUAGUAUACGGUUCCGGCAGCUUAUUUGAGCUGCUCAGUUCUUAUGUCAUAACACCUUAAAAAGGAGGCAUGCAGAUUUGACUGAUGGUUCAGGAUACUCCAGAUUGAUGCAUGAGCUCACUAGAGGGAUAGACAGAGUGGGUUCAGAAGUGUAGCCCCAAAAUAUCUGCUAGAGUGCAGCCCAUGGGGGUAAUCUUGGCCUGUCACCAGUAUCUCUCUGGAUGGAGCUCAUGAGGUUGAACCAGUGCUGUGCAUUGCGUGAUUCCCAUAAUGUGGGAUGCUGUGUUUUGGGGAAGCAUAGGCAUUUGCUUGUUGAACUUAUGUUUUUUUUUCCUUUUUCUUUUCUUAUGGAAAAAGCACAAGGUUCCUCCAUGCUACAUCACUCUGUCAUGAGAGAACUUUGGCAGGAGCAAGGCAUUAAAUGGCUUGUACAAGGCUGCCUUUAUGCAUUCGCAGGUGUCUAAGUUGAGGUAUGCAGGGAAUUUCAUAGACCAGCCUGGAUCUUGUUUUCAGUCACAUAUCAAAAUGCGUGCCAUGCCUACUUAGCACAUAUCACAUGAAAAACAUGCCAAACAUGGAAGCAAUGAAAGUCUGAAUAGGAGAAUAUCACCUUUUAAAAAACAUUAAUAAAGUUUUCAAAAAUAAAAAUAAGUAUAAUUCAUUACCCUAAAAUGUAGCCUUUAAUCUUUUCAAGGCUGGCAUGAGCCCUAACCAUAGGUUUUGGAGUAAUUAAAUGAUCAUAUAAUACUAAAAUGUUUAUGUGGGCUUUCACAACUAAAUUUUAGACCUGUUGGGCUUUUCAGUAUGAUCUAAUGGCUGGUGCACAGAAGCUGUUGUUAAGACUCCCAGGCUCUGUUUCUCCUUUCUGCCAAGAUUUACAGCUAAUGAGAUGCUAUUUUCUGCACUGCCUGGCUAGUGCAAAACUGUAUUUGUUAAGGGUUGUUUUUAUGAGCUAAGAUUUACAGUUUCUAAUGAUCACAUGCAAAGUAAACCUUUUAUUUACUUAACCACCAUGAAAAACUGCAUGUAACAAAAUCAUCAUAUAAUUCUUGCUGCAGAAACAUAGCUGCUUUAUAGCCACUGUGAUUUUUUUAGACUUAUACAAAGAACCAUAUCUUAUCACCUUUGCUUAUGCUGAGUGGAAUCUUUUCAAGCAGUCCUGUAGAGAUGAUUUUUCAGUUUCAUGAAUAAUUUUCUGAGACUUUGGUGGAAAAGAAGUCUGAAAACUGAAAAAAGUGGAAUGAACAACAUUUUCAGUGCCAAGGAGCAAAGUGGUCUUUUCUGUUCAGGUAUGUGGAACUCGUUCUGGUUACUCAAAGAGAGAAUUACUAUUCAAACUUUGGUUAUCAGAAUCUGGCCCAGAGUAAACAAACUUUUUCAUGGCAAAGCCAUAAAAACUCCAUAAUAUGCCCAAAUUUGAACAAUUUACAGUAACUCUGAAGUCUUUGGUUGUUCAGAGAAGGACUUAAU
ensembl:lncRNA